GCAGAAUCACCGACUAUAGUCCGCUCUUCGCCUUGACGUCGUCUCUUCUCCGGUUUGGUUUCCUUCCUUGCUUUAAUCGGUGGCGAGAACUCCGUUCUCUCUUUCUUCCGGCCACACGGAAUUUGGUUGUUGUCUCACUUCACAACAACUAUUAUUGCGUAUCUGGUUUUCGUGAUUCCAAGACAUUUUUGCAGGUGUGAUUCUAUUGCUUUGUCUGGCCUUAAUUUAAUGCUUUUUUGAUAUGCACAUACAAGUUAUGAUUCAAGGAACCUUGUUAAUAAGGCACAAGAUAGGCACUAAACCUAUUUUAAUAGGUUCGAGGAAAAGAGAAACAGAUACACAAGGAAGAGAAGAGGAGAGAUGUCAGUGGAGAUGGAGAAGAGAAAAAUGCUACAUGACACUCAUAUAGACCCUGGAAUCAUUAUUUUAUUACUUGGUGGGUGGGGCACUAAUUAGUGCAAAUUUGACCGCAUUGCUUUCCCGAGUGAGUGACUCGGUGCAUAAUGGAUUUGUGCUAAUUCAAGAUCAAUAAAAGGCCAAAAAGAAGACACGAAAUAUAUCUCGAAAACACAGCAAUAAAUAAAGGCAUAUCACAACAAAACAUUGUAGAAAAACUUCUCGUCAUCAACAAGAAAUGGUGAUCUAGUCACCAAAAUCAACCAUGUCACUCAAGCAUUUGUCCUUGAAGAGAAUUCCAAUCCUUUGCCCCACCCACUUCAGGUACUGAUUUUUGACAUUUCAACUGUUGGACAAAUUUGUAUCCGAGAACGAUUACUC